GUCUGGAUGGUGUAGUGGUCAGCACAUCUGCCUAGUAAGUAGGAGACACAGGUUUGAAUCCUGAUCCAGCACA